GUAGGGGGCGAGCGUUGUCCGGAUUUAUUGGGCGUAAAGAGCUCGUAGGCGGUUGGGCAAGUCGGUCGGGAAAGUUCAGGGCUCAACCCUGAAAUGUCGAUCGAUACUGGUGUGACUAGGAUACGGUAGAGGUGAGUGGAAUUCCGAGUGUAGCGGUGAAAUGCAUAGAUAUUCGGAGGAACACCAAUUGCGAAGGCAGCUCACUGGGCCGCUAUCGACGCUGAGGAGCGAAAGCUAGGGGAGCAAACAGGAUUAGAUACCCUGGUAGUCCUAGCUGUAAACGAUGGAUACUAGACGUAGGAAUUGGAUUAACGAUUUCUGUGUCGUAGCUAACGCGUUAAGUAUCCCGCCUGGGGAGUACGGUCGCAAGACUAAAACUCAAAGGAAUUGACGGGACCCCGCACAAGCGGCGGAGCAUGCGGCUUAAUUCGAUGAUACCCGUAGAACCUUACCUGGACUUGACAUAUAGGGAAAAGUUAUAGAAAUAUAAUGUGCAUUAGCGCCCUAUACAGGUGGUGCAUGGCUGUCGUCAGCUCGUGUCGUGAGAUGUUGGGUUAAGUCCCGCAACGAGCGCA
rnacentral:rRNA from 1 species